rnacentral:misc_RNA from 1 species
UGGCUCUCGCAUCGAUGAAGAACGCAGCGAAAUGCGAUAAGUAAUGUGAAUUGCAGAAUUCAGUGAAUCAUCGAAUCUUUGAACGCACCUUGCGCCCUUUGGUAUUCCGAUGGGCAUGCCUGUUUGAGUGUCUUGAAAUCAUCAAACCCCCCCGGUUUCGCGAUCGCGGGGCUUGGACUUGGGGGCUCUGCUGCCGCGAGGCGGCUCCCCUUAAAUGCAUCGGUCGGGCCUACUGGGGCUCCGUCACCUGGGCGUUGUAUUACCCUCGCUCUCCCGACGCGCCUCGGCUUUGCGUGCCCGACACCGACCUGCCUCUGGAGCGGCGGUCAACACUCUUUGAGAUCUGACCUCAAAUCAGGUAGGACUACCCGCUGA